ACGGGUGAGUAACACGUAGGUCAUCUUCCCCUGAGUGGUGGAUAACUCUCCGAAAGGAGAGCUAAUACAGCAUAAGACCACGACCUCGCCGAGGUUGUGGCCAAAGCAGACCUCUUCAUGAAAGUUUGCGCUUAGGGAUGAGCCUGCGGCCCAUCAGCUAGUUGGUAGGGUAAUGGCCUACCAAGGCUAAGACGGGUAGCUGGUCUGAGAGGAUGAACAGCCACACUGGAACUGAGACACGGUCCAGACUCCUACGGGAGGCAGCAGUGGGGAAUCUUGCGCAAUGGGCGAAAGCCUGACGCAGCGACGCCGCGUGAGCGAUGUAGGCCUUCGGGUUGUAAAGCUCUGUGGGGAGGGAAGAAUAAGGUUUGGCUAAUAUCCAAGCUGAUGACGGUACCUCCUUAGCAAGCACCGGCUAACUCUGUGCCAGCAGCCGCGGUAAGACAGAGGGUGCAAACGUUGUUCGGAAUUACUGGGCGUAAAGCGCGUGUAGGCGGCUAAGUAAGUCGGGCGUGAAAUCCCACGGCUCAACCGUGGAAGUGCACUCGAAACUGCAUAGCUAGAGUCCUGGAGAGGAAGGUGGAAUGC
rnacentral:rRNA from 1 species